AGAGUUUGAUCCUGGCUCAGAAUCAACGCUGGCGGCGCGCCUAACACAUGCAAGUCGCACGAGAAAGCCGGGGCAACCCGGUGAGUAAAGUGGCGUACGGGUGAGUAACACGUGGGUAACNUACCCUCUGGUGGGGAAUAACCCUGGGAAACCGGGGCUAAUACCGCAUAAGUCCGGGAGGAGAAAGCCGAAAGGCGCCGGAGGAGGGGCCCGCGGCCGAUUAGCUAGUUGGUAGGGUAAUGGCCUACCAAGGCGACGAUCGGUAGCCGGCCUGAGAGGGCACACGNCCACACUGGCACUGAAACACGGGCCAGACUCCUACGGGAGGCAGCAGUGGGGAAUCUUGCACAAUGGGGGAAACCCCUGAUGCAGCGACGCCGCGUGAGCGAUGAAGCCCUUCGGGGUGUAAAGCUCUUUCGGCGGGAACGAUAAUGACGGACCCGCAGAAGA
rnacentral:rRNA from 1 species